UACGGGAGGCAGCAGUGAGGAAUAUUGGUCAAUGGGCGCGAGCCUGAACCAGCCAAGUAGCGUGCAGGAUGACGGCCCUAUGGGUUGUAAACUGCUUUUAUGCGGGGAUAAAGUGAGGGACGUGUCCUUCAUUGCAGGUACCGCAUGAAUAAGGACCGGCUAAUUCCGUGCCAGCAGCCGCGGUAAUACGGAAGGUCCGGGCGUUAUCCGGAUUUAUUGGGUUUAAAGGGAGCGUAGGCCGUGGAUUAAGCGUGUUGUGAAAUGUAGACGCUCAACGUCUGACUUGCAGCGCGAACUGGUCCACUUGAGUGUGCACAACGCAGGCGGAAUUCGUCGUGUAGCGGUGAAAUGCUUAGAUAUGACGAAGAACCCCGAUUGCGAAGGCAGCUUGCGGGGGCACGACUGACGCUGAAGCUCGAAAGUGCGGGUAUCGAACAGGAUUAGAUACCCUGGUAGUCCGCACGGUAAACGAUGGAUGCCCGUUGUCAGGUUAUUUUAGUCUGGUGACCAAGCGAAAGCAUUAAGCAUCCCACCUGGGGAGUACGCCGGCAACGGUGAAACUCAAAGGAAUUGACGGGGGCCCGCACAAGCGGAGGAACAUGUGGUUUAAUUCGAUGAUACGCGAGGAACCUUACCCGGGCUUGAAUUGCAGACGAACGAUUCAGAGAUGAAGAGGCCCUUCGGGGCGUCUGUGAAGGUGCUGCAUGGUUGUCGUCAGCUCGUGCCGUGAGGUGUCGGCUUAAGUGCCAUAACGAGCGCAACCCCUAUUCUCGGUUGCCAUCGGGUAAUGCCGGGCACUCCGUGGAGACUGCCAC
rnacentral:rRNA from 1 species